rnacentral:rRNA from 1 species
GACAGAGGUGCCGAGCGUUGUUCGGAUUCAUUGGGCGUAAAGGGUGCGUAGGUGGUCUGGUAAGUCGGAUGUGAAAUCCCGGAGCUUAACUUCGGAACUGCAUUCGAUACUGCCUGACUGGAGUACUGGAGAGGAGAUCGGAAUUUACGGUGUAGCAGUGAAAUGCGUAGAUAUCGUAAGGAAGACCAGUGGCGAAGGCGGAUCUCUGGACAGUUACUGACACUGAGGCACGAAGGCCAGGGGAGCAAACGGG